rnacentral:rRNA from 1 species
AGUCGCCUACGGGAGGCAGCAGUGGGGAAUAUUGCACAAUGGGGGAAACCCUGAUGCAGCGACGCCGCGUGAAGGAAGAAGUAUUUCGGUAUGUAAACUUCUAUCAGCAGGGAAGAAAAUGACGGUACCUGAGUAAGAAGCCCCGGCUAACUACGUGCCAGCAGCCGCGGUAAUACGUAGGGGGCAAGCGUUAUCCGGAUUUACUGGGUGUAAAGGGAGCGUAGACGGUUAUGCAAGUCUGGAGUGAAAGGCGGGGGCUCAACCCCCGGACUGCUCUGGAAACUGUAGAACUAGAGUGCAGGAGG